AACGCAUAUUGCGCUCUUUGGUUUUCCGAAGAGCAUGCUUGUUUGAGUAUCAGUAAACACCUCAAAGCCUUUUUUCUUUUUUGAAGAAAGACUUUGGACUUGAGCAAUCUCAACACUAAUCUCUUGAGAUUGGGGGCGGGUUGCUUGAAAUGCAGGUGCAGCUGGACUUUCUCCUGAGCUAAAAGCAUAUUCAUUUAGUCCCGUCAAACGGAUUAUUACUUUUGCUGCAGCUAACAUAAAGGGAGUUUGACCAUUUUGGCUGACUGAUGCAGGAUUUCACAAGAGUCUUCAAAAACCCUUGUUAAACUCGAUCUCAAAUCAAGUAAGACUACCCGCUGAACUUAA
rnacentral:misc_RNA from 1 species